rnacentral:rRNA from 1 species
CCUACGGGAGGCAGCAGUAGGGAAUCUUCCACAAUGGACGAAAGUCUGAUGGAGCAACGCCGCGUGAGUGAAGAAGGGUUUCGGCUCGUAAAGCUCUGUUGGCAGUGAAGAAAGAUAGAGGUAGUAACUGGCCUUUAUUUGACGGUACUUACUUAGAAAGUCACGGCUAACUACGUGCCAGCAGCCGCGGUAAUACGUAGGUGGCAAGCGUUGUCCGGAUUUAUUGGGCGUAAAGCGAGUGCAGGCGGUUCAAUAAGUCUGAUGUGAAAGCCUUCGGCUCAACCGGAGAAUGGCAUCAGAAACUGUAGAACUAGAGUGCAGAAGAGGAGAGUAGAACUCCAGGUGUAGCGGUGAAAUGCGUAGAUAUAUGGAAGAAUACCAGUGCCGAAGGCGGCUCUCUGGUCUGCAACUGACGCUGAGGCGCGAAAGCAUGGGUAGCGAACAGGAUUAGAUACCCUGGUAGUC